AGUGAACGCUGGCGGUAGGCCUAACACAUGCAAGUCGAACGGCAGCACAGUAAGAGCUUGCUCUUACGGGUGGCGAGUGGCGGACGGGUGAGGAAUACAUCGGAAUCUACUUUUUCGUGGGGGAUAACGUAGGGAAACUUACGCUAAUACCGCAUACGGCCUACGGGUGAAAGCAGGGGAUCUUCGGACCUUGCGCGACUGAAUGAGCCGAUGUCGGAUUAGCUAGUUGGCGGGGUAAAGGCCCACCAAGGCGACGAUCCGUAGCUGGUCUGAGAGGAUGAUCAGCCACACUGGAACUGAGACACGGUCCAGACUCCUACGGGAGGCAGCAGUGGGGAAUAUUGGACAAUGGGCGCAAGCCUGAUCCAGCCAUGCCGCGUGAGUGAAGAAGGCCUUCGGGUUGUAAAGCCCUUUUGUUGGGAAAGAAAAGCAGCAGGUUAAUACCCCGCUGUUCUGACGGUACCCAAAGAAUAAGCACCGGCUAACUUCGUG
rnacentral:rRNA from 1 species